rnacentral:rRNA from 1 species
CAGUAGGAUAAGCUAAGCACACUGUUGGUUAUGUGUGCCCAAGCAUUGAGGCAGUCAAAGUAGGCAAAUCCGCUUUGAUAAUGCUGGGAUGUGAUGGGGAGCGAAAUUUAGUAGCGAAGUAGCUGAUUUCACACUGUCAAGAAAAGUCUCUAUCGAGGUUAAAGGUACCCGUACCGCAAACCGACACAGGUGGGUGAGGAGAGUAUCCUAAGGCCAGCGAGAGAACUGUUGUUAAGGAACUCGGCAAAAUGACCCCGUAACUUAGGGAUAAGGGGUGCCACCAUCAGGUGGCCGCAGAGAAUAGGCCCAAGCGACUGUUUACCAAAAACAUAGGUUUCUGCUAAGUCGCAAGACGAUGUAUAGGAGCUGACGCCUGCCCGGUGCUGGAAGGUUAAGGGGAUCUGUUAGAGCAAUCGAAGCAGUGAACUUAAGCCCCAGUAAACGGCGGCCGUAACUAUAACGGUCCUAAGGUAGCGAAAUUCCUUGUCGGGUAAGUUCCGACCCGCACGAAAGGCGUAACGAUUUGGGCACUGUCUCAACAACAGACUCGGUGAAAUUGUAAUUCCGGUGAAGAUGCCGGAUACCUGCGACAGGACGGAAAGACCCCAUGGAGCUUUACUGUAGCUUGACAUUGGGUCUUGGUACUACAUGUACAGGAUAGGUGGGAGGCUUUGAAACCAGGACGCCAGUUUUGGCGGAGCCAUCCUUGGGAUACCACCCUUGUAGUACUGGGACUCUAACCAUAGGCCAUGAAUCUGGUCUUGGGACACUGUCAGGUGGGCAGUUUGACUGGGGCGGUCGCCUCCCAAAAGGUAACGGAGGCGCUCAAAGGUUCUCUCAGUACGGUCGGAAAUCGUACGUAGAGUGUAAAGGCAAAAGAGAGCUUGAUUGCAAGACAUACAGGUCGAGCAAGGAUGAAAAUCGGACUUAGUGAUCCGGUGGUUCUGCGUGGAAGGGCCAUCGCUCAACGGAUAAAAGCUACCCUGGGGAUAA